CACACACCACCCUGGCACCAUGUCACCUGGCAGCUCAGCACGGCCUCGGGCCACACAGCCUCCUGCACACACUCCAGAGGGCACAGCGAGCCCACGUGUCCCUCAGAGCCCCAGGCACCAUCCUGCACACAGAUACCCAGGAGCCCAGGUGAUUCCCAAGGUGCCCAAGCUGUGGAUGGGUUGGGUCUCCUGAGCAGCUGUCACUGACUCCUUCCCUGCUCCCUCUGCCCAGCCUGUGCUUCCUCCGUCGCCCUGCCCACACCUUUGUCGGCGUCUGCUGGGGGUAGGUCCUCCCGCCUCUGGGGACAGACACCAUGAUGCUGAGGAGUUAGGGGCGAGCCCUCAGCCUCCCCAGCCGCCUCAAGAGGAUGCCACUCUCCUUCCUCCCCCGUGCUUGUCACUUGGAGGAACGCGUGGAGAGGUUGCUGUCAUCUCUGCGCUCAUCUUUGUAGCUAGCUCUCAAAGUCGGCAAGUCUGUGACUGUUUCUGCCUGAGCGAAUGACAGCUCGUGUGAAGAAAGCAGGGCCUCGUGAAGAAGCUGGACCCGGCGACCAUCCUUAACCCUAUCCGGCAGCACUAGCGGCACUGCGGACAGCUCCCCCACUUUGUCACUCCCGAGUCCAGAGAGCCCUGGGGCGGCGAGGCCGGGAGAUUGAGCGUCAGAGACCGCUGGGCCCCGGGUCCCUGCGCCGAGGCUGUGAGAUGGAAGGGGAGGGCACGCUGGCAGGCUGGGGUGUUCCAGCAAACUGCUGGGUCCCUCAGCUUCAGAGGUGU